CCUACGGGUGGCAGCAGUGGGGAAUAUUGGGCAAUGGGCGCAAGCCUGACCCAGCAACGCCGCGUGAAGGAAGAAGGCUUUCGGGUUGUAAACUUCUUUUGUCAGGGACGAAGCAAGUGACGGUACCUGACGAAUAAGCCACGGCUAACGACGUGCCAGCAGCCGCGAUAAUACGGAGGUGGCAAGCGUUAUCCGGAUUUACUGGGUGUAAAGGGCGUGUAGGCGGUACUGCAAGUCAGGUGUGAAAACCACGGGCUCAACCUGUGGCCUGCAUUUGAAACUGUAGGUCUUGAGUACUGGAGAGGCAGACGGAAUUCCUAGUGUAGCGGUGAAAUGCGUAGAUAUUAGGAGGAACACCAGUGGCGAAGGCGGUCUGCUGGACAGCAACUGACGCUGAGGCGCGAAAGCGUGGGGAGCAAACAGGAUUAGAUACCCCGGUAGUC
rnacentral:rRNA from 1 species